rnacentral:lncRNA from 1 species
AUGCAGAUCUUCAGAGUGAGAUUUUAUUACUGGAUUACUUGCCUGUCUGUUGCUAGUGCCUCAUGUGCCUCUCCAAGAUACCCAGUUGUGGCAUCCAGUGCCACAGUAAGCAGCAUCUUCAACCUUUCUGGACUACAGCACCUGCCAACUGACCCCACAUCAUGGCUCCAACGCUGGCUUCAUCACAUAUCUUCUCUCUUAGUCCCUUCGGCUCUCAGGGUGAAAUAGCUUAACAAAAUUGCUGACCUAGGUGCCUCAGCAUUGUUUCUUUGUCAUAGUCUCUGUAUUAUCUUAUUUUGAGCCAUUCUUUUCCUGCAAAGAUCCUAACUGAAUGAGAUAAUACCUACCUCAUAAGCUAUUUGUAAGGUUUAAAUAAAUCAAUGCAUAUUUAAUACAUGAAGCUGUGCCUAGUUUAUAGUAAUUACUAAAAAAAGUUACUUAUUUCUCCAUCCAAAACAUACACACAAUAGUAUAUCCUUCAUGAGUACUUCUUGUGGACUAAAAGGCAGUGUCUUUAAAGUGUUUUGCAGUCUCUGACAAAACUACACUAUUACUCUUACUCAAGGUUUUAAUUGAUUGUAUGUACACAAGGUUAGUUUGUAUGAGCUUUGGAAAGACGAGAAAUUCAAAGCGGAACAGGAAGGGAGGAAAGUGUAUGUUCCACUAAUAAAAUAAAUAUUAGUUCCUGUAAUCAGAUUGUGAGUGACAGUGAAGUCCAGUGGACCUAUUUUGCCAUCCAACAGAUGGCUGAGAAGUUGCUGGUGUGGCAAGCAAGCAGUGCAAUUGCUAACUCUGACUGCAAAAUGGCAGACUCAUUUGCUUGGGGGGCCAGAAUGAGGGAUGGUUCACAUGGGAAGCACAAAGUCACCCUUGAUGAAAGUUCAGAGAAGAAAGAGAUCAUCAAACUUACUCUAAUUACCAAAAGGUGAUGACAUUAGAGGAAGAAUUAGAGUUGGAAAUAGUACUUUUGGUAGACAGGACUGAUUUCUAAGAAAGUCCAUACUCAUGCGAUACAAAGACAGUUUGUGGGCCCCAAGGCAGAGUAGCUGCCUCAGGUGGGCAAGUGGCUAAAGUUCACCAAGCAAUGUGGCCCAAAACUCACAUAGACACUAUGCCUACCUGCAUCCCAUGAUGCCAGGAGAACCACA